UUGAUCCUGGCUCAGAACGAACGCUGGCGGCGUGCUUAACACAUGCAAGUCGGAUGCGAACGGCGCUUUCGGGCGUUGAGUAGCAUGGCAGACGGGUGAGGAGCGCGUAUCUGACUGGACUCAGGCUGGGGGAUAGUCCCUCGAAAGGGGGUUGAAUACCGCAUGUGCUCGGUGCUGUGAGGGCAUCGAGGAAAGUUGGCCUCUGCGGGCACGCUGAUGGCCUGAGACAGGGAUGCGUCCUAUUAGCUAGCUGGUGGGGUAAGGGCCUACCAGGGCGACGAUGGGUAGCUGGUCUGAGAGGAUGAUCAGCCACACUGGGACUGCGACACGGCCCAGACUCCUACGGGAGGCAGCAGUGGGGAAUUUUGCGCAAUGGGCGCAAGCCUGACGCAGCAACGCCGCGUGCAUGACGACGCCUUUCGAGGUGUAAAGUGCUGUCGACCGGGACGAAGGGGCGAGGGUGAACAGCUUUCGCGCAUGACGGUACCGGUGGAGGAAGCCCCGGCUAACUCCGUGCCAGCAGCCGCGGUAAGACGGAGGGGGCGAGCGUUGUUCGGAAUUACUGGGCGUAAAGCGCGCGUAGGCGGUGCAGCAAGUGGUGCGUGAAAGCCCUCGGCUUAACCGGGGACGGGCGUGCCAAACUGUUGGACUGGAGUGCCGGAGGGGGAGGCGGAAUUCCUGGUGGAGCGGUGAAAUGCGUAGAGAUCAGGAAGAACGUCGGUGGCGAA
rnacentral:rRNA from 1 species